UCGAACGGUGAACACGGAGCUUGCUCUGUGGGAUCAGUGGCGAACGGGUGAGUAACACGUGAGCAACCUGCCCCUGACUCUGGGAUAAGCGCUGGAAACGGCGUCUAAUACUGGAUACGAACCAUGAAGGCAUCUUCAGUGGUUGGAAAGAUUUAUUGGUUGGGGAUGGGCUCGCGGCCUAUCAGCUUGUUGGUGAGGUAAUGGCUCACCAAGGCGUCGACGGGUAGCCGGCCUGAGAGGGUGACCGGCCACACUGGGACUGAGACACGGCCCAGACUCCUACGGGAGGCAGCAGUGGGGAAUAUUGCACAAUGGGCGCAAGCCUGAUGCAGCAACGCCGCGUGAGGGAUGACGGCCUUCGGGUUGUAAACCUCUUUUAGCAGGGAAGAAGCGAAAGUGACGGUACCUGCAGAAAAAGCGCCGGCUAACUACGUGCCAGCAGCCGCGGUAAUACGUAGGGCGCAAGCGUUAUCCGGAAUUAUUGGGCGUAAAGAGCUCGUAGGCGGUUUGUCGCGUCUGCUGUGAAAUCCGGAGGCUCAACCUCCGGCCUGCAGUGGGUACGGGCAGACUAGAGUGCGGUAGGGGAGAUUGGAAUUCCUGGUGUAGCGGUGGAAUGCGCAGAUAUCAGGAGGAACACCGAUGGCGAAGGCAGAUCUCUGGGCCGUAACUGACGCUGAGGAGCGAAAGGGUGGGGAGCAAACAGGCUUAGAUACCCUGGUAGUCCACCCCGUAAACGUUGGGAACUAGUUGUGGGGUCCAUUCCACGGAUUCCGUGACGCAGCUAACGCAUUAAGUUCCCCGCCUGGGGAGUACGGCCGCAAGGCUAAAACUCAAAGGAAUUGACGGGGACCCGCACAAGCGGCGGAGCAUGCGGAUUAAUUCGAUGCAACGCGAGACCUUACCAAGGCUUGACAUAUACGAGACGGGCCAG
rnacentral:rRNA from 2 species